UCGAAAAUUACGAACUAUAGUUUAAAACUCAAAGAAUUUUGGCGGUGUCUUAUCAAUCCAGGGGAACCUGUCUCAUAACUCGAUAAUCCACGUAUACCCUCCCUCUUUUUGAUUAACCAGUAUGUGUACUGCCGUCGUAAGCACACCUCUAAAAGAGUUGCAGUGUGCAAUUAUGACUACUCUCAUAUACGUCAGGUCAAAGUGCAGCCAAUAAAGAGGUGAUGAUGGGUUACACUCCACACACAGACACGGAACAUAUAAUUAAAAUCUAUGUAAAGGCGGACUUGGAUGUAAUUUAAUUUAUAUAAUUCAAUGAAAAUGAAUCUAAGACAUGCACACAUCGCCCGUCACUCUCUCCCCAAGGAG
rnacentral:rRNA from 1 species